rnacentral:rRNA from 1 species
UACGGAAGGCAGCAGUGGGGAAUAUUGCACAAUGGGCGCAAGCCUGAUGCAGCCAUGCCGCGUGUAUGAAGAAGGCCUUCGGGUUGUAAAGUACUUUCAGCGGGGAGGAAGGCGGUGGAGUUAAUAGCUUCACCGAUUGACGUUACCCGCAGAAGAAGCACCGGCUAACUCCGUGCCAGCAGCCGCGGUAAUACGGAGGGUGCAAGCGUUAAUCGGAAUUACUGGGCGUAAAGCGCACGCAGGCGGUCUGUCAAGUCGGAUGUGAAAUCCCCGGGCUUAACCUGGGAACUGCAUUCGAAACUGGCAGGCUAGAGUCUUGUAGAGGGGGUAGAAUUCCAGGUGUAGCGGUGAAAUGCGUAGAGAUCUGGAGGAAUACCGGUGGCGAAGGCGGCCCCUGGGACAAGACUGACGCUCAGGGUGCGAAAGCGUGGGGAGCAAACAGGGAUUAGGAU